rnacentral:rRNA from 1 species
AUGGAGAAGACCAUCGUCCUGUACCCCGGCCUCGGCGUGGGCCACUUCAACCCCAUGAUGCAGCUCGCCGCCGCGCUCCUGGACCACGGCUACGCCGUCUCCGUCGCGCUCAUCGGCCACGACUCCCUGGCCGCCGCCGUCCGCCGGGUCGCCUCCUCCAUGCCGUCCGUCCGGAUCCACGCGCUCCCGCCCGUCCAGGACCAGCCCGCCUUGGCGCUCGACGGGCCGUCGUCGCUCCUCCUCUCGUACCUCCGCCUCCUGGACCGCUACAACGGCCGGCUCCACGACCUGCUCUGCUCCGCCCGCCGCGCCCAUGCCGUGAUCUUCGACUCGCUAUCGGUCGGAGCGCUGGGCGUCGCCGAGGAGCUCGGUAUCCCCGCCUACGUCUUCUAUACCUCCUGCGCGUCCACCCUCCUCGCCUCCAUACAGCUUCACUCCGUCCUCGGUGAUGGCGAGAGCCGUCGGAAAGGCUUUAGGGAGAUAGGAGAUAGCCCCGUCGAGUUCUUCGGCCUCCCGCCCGUGCCGGCUUCGCACCUGCUCGCCGAGCUGCUCGAGGACCCGGAGAGCGACGCGUACAAGGCGACGAUGGCCGCCAUGUACCGGAUCCCGGAGGCCAGCGGCAUCCUGGUGAACACUUUCGAGUCGCUGGAGGCUCGGGCUGUGGCGGCUCUCAGGGACCCUCGGUGUCUCCCCGGACGGGUCUUGCCUCCGGUGUACUGCGUCGGGCCUCUCAUCGGGAGCACGGCCGACGGCGAGGCAACUUCACCGAGGCACGAGUGCCUUGCGUGGCUCGACGGGCAACCCGACCGCAGCGUCGUGUUCCUCUGCUCCGGGAGCAUGACGAGCUGGGGACUCCAGUCGGAGGAGCAGCUCAGGGAGAUCGCCGUCGGCCUGGACAACUCCGGCCACCGGUUCCUCUGGGUCGUGCGAGCCCCCGGCGGCGACGGCGUCCCAGAUCUCAGCGCGCUCCUGCCGGACGGGUUCUUGGAGCGCACGGACGGUCGCGGCCUCGUCAUCAAGCUGUGGGCGCCGCAGGUCGACGUGCUCCGCCACAGGGCCACCGGCGCGUUCGUGACGCACUGCGGGUGGAACUCGGCGCUGGAGGGCGUCACGGCCGGCGUGCCGAUGCUUUGUUGGCCGAUGUAUGCGGAACAGAGGAUGAAUAAGCUCUUCAUGGUUGAGGAGAUGAGGGUCGCCGUGGAGAUGGUGGGGUGGCAGCAGGGGCUCGUCAAAGCCGGCGAGGUGGAGGGCAAGGUAAGGAUGAUCAUGGAGGCUGAGGAGGGCAGGGAACUAAGGGCGCGAGCGGCGGCGCAAAAGGAAAGCGCCGCUGUGGCGUGGAACGACGGCGGCUCGGGGCGCGCGGCGCUUGCCCAGUUCCUGGCGGAAGUGGACAGCCGACAGCCGCUGGCUCGCGACGGGGAAGCUAUCGAUGGUGAGCUUUGGCAACCAGUGUGA